rnacentral:rRNA from 1 species
UACGUAGGGUGCGAGCGUUAAUCGGAAUUACUGGGCGUAAAGCGUGCGCAGGCGGUUUUGUAAGCCAGAUGUGAAAGCCCCGGGCUUAACCUGGGAAUGGCAUUUGGGACUGCAAGGCUGGAGUUUGGCAGAGGAGACUGGAAUUCCUGGUGUAGCAGUGAAAUGCGUAGAUAUCAGGAGGAAUACCGAUGGCGAAGGCAGGUCUCUGGGCUAUAACUGACGCUGAGGAGCGAAAGCGUGGGGAGCGAACAGG